GUGUUGUUUGUUAAGGGCACACGGUGGAUGCCUUGGCAUUAUGAGCCGAUGAAGGACGUGUAAGGCCGCGAUAGGCCUCGGGGAGUUGCCAAUAGAGCGUUGAUCCGAGGGUGUCCGAAUGGGGAAACCUGGCCAUGGUUAUGUGUGGUUACCCAUCAGUGAAUUCAUAGCUGGUGUGGGGGUGACGCGGGGAAGUGAAACAUCUCAGUACCCGUAGGAGAAGAAAAUAAUUAAUGAUUCUGCUAGUAGUGGCGAACGAACGUGGAUGAGGCUAAACCGUAUGCGUGUGAUACCUGGCAGGGGUUGCGUGUGUGGUGUUGUGGGGCGUUGUUGGAGGAGGCUGCCGGCUCCUCGCUUGUUAUAUGUGUGUGUUAGCGGAAGUGGUUUGGAAUGGCCUGCCGUAGUGGGUGAGAGUCCCGUACGUGAAAAUGCAUGCAUGCGAGUGGAUGAUGUUCCCGAGUAGCAGCGGGCUCGUGGAAUCUGCUGUGAAUCUGCCGGGACCACCCGGUAAGCCUAAAUACUUAUGAUGACCGAUAGCGGAUAGUACCGUGAGGGAAUGGUGAAAAGUACCCCGGGAGGGGAGUGAAAUAGUACCUGAAACCGUGUGCUUACAAUCCGUCAGAGCCU
rnacentral:rRNA from 1 species